rnacentral:rRNA from 1 species
UAAUACGGAGGGUGCAAGCGUUAUUCGGAAUUAUUGGGCGUAAAGAGCGCGUAGGUGGUCUCUUAAGUCAGAUGUGAAAGCCUUCCGCUUAACGGAAGAAGUGCAUUUGAAACUAAGAGACUUGAGUAUGGGAGAGGGAAGUGGAAUUCCUGGUGUAGAGGUGAAAUUCGUAGAUAUCAGGAGGAACACCGGUGGCGAAGGCGACUUCCUGGACCAAUACUGACGCUGAGGCGCGAAGGCGUGGGGAGCAAACAGGAUUAGAUACCCUGGUAGUCCACGCAGUAAACGGUGAACACUAGGUGUAGCGGGUAUUGACCCCUGCUGUGCCGCAGUUAACGCAUUAAGUGUUCCGCCUGGGGAGUACGGCCGCAAGGUUA